rnacentral:rRNA from 1 species
GUGCCCUACGGGGCGCAGCAGUGAGGAAUAUUGGUCAAUGGGCUUACGCCUGAACCAGCCAAGUCGCGUGAGGGAAGACUGCCCUAUGGGUUGUAAACCUCUUUUGUCAGGGAGCAACGCCGGCUACGUGUAGCCGGACUGAGAGUACCUGAAGAAAAAGCAUCGGCUAACUCCGUGCCAGCAGCCGCGGUAAUACGGAGGAUGCGAGCGUUAUCCGGAUUUAUUGGGUUUAAAGAGUGCGUACGCGGAAUGCCAAUUCAGCGGUAAUAUCGCGGGGCUCAACCUCGCUCCGCCGUUGAAACCAG